rnacentral:rRNA from 1 species
UACGUAGGGCGCAAGCGUUAUCCGGAAUUAUUGGGCGUAAAGAGCUCGUAGGCGGUUUGUCGCGUCUGCCGUGAAAGUCCGGGGCUCAACUCCGGAUCUGCGGUGGGUACGGGCAGACUAGAGUGAUGUAGGGGAGACUGGAAUUCCUGGUGUAGCGGUGAAAUGCGCAGAUAUCGGGGAAGAACACCCGUGGCGAAGGCGGCUCUCUGGGACGGUACUGACGCUGAGACGCGAAAGCGUGGGGGAGCGAACAGG